rnacentral:misc_RNA from 1 species
GAUCCAGAAUGACUUGAUCCAUGCCUGGGGCCUGGAUUUCCAGCUUGGUUAUUGUGCACAGGGUGAUCGAACAAAAAAUGUUGGCGUAGUUGAUUCUGAGUACAUUGUUCAUCUGGGUCUUUUAACUCUUGGUGUCUUCAAUGGAACUGAGUCUAAUUCUCAUUCUGGUUCGCAAGUUCAUCUUUCUCAAGAAAAGCAUUUUGCUGAGCCAUCGGAGUCCUAUGUAGUUGAUAACAGAGUAGAGGUACGCUCGGUUGAUUAUUUUCUAUGCUCGCAAGCCAUGUUCUUUUUUUCAUUACGCAUUGCACAAACUGCAAAAUUAUGUUCUUUUUGUUGUUUUUCCCUGCUUAUUUAUACUCUCAACAAUAUGCUUAUUUUUCCUCAAAUGAAUUGACAUGGAUCCAUUGGUUUAAGAACUAGUUAUGGAGUAAUGAUAUUUAUACAGGUAAGAAGACAGUCCUACUUUGAAAUGCAGAUCUUCCGGGAUAGAUGGAAAAACGCUGUAAAGGACGACAAAUGCUGGGUAGAUCCAUUUCAAUACUUAGCAAACCAAACUAAUAAUUAAACUUUAUUCCCUCAUAUGAAGAUUGGUGGCUACAUUCAUACAUGACAGCAAUAGCUUCUUGUACAAACCAUCCAUAUGAAUUUUUUGUUCGAAAAAAUCUCAAAACAGCAGAGGUAAAGUGUGUAAAUUCUUCAAGGAGAUUGAGAUUGUGAAUUUGUGAUUUCUUGGCUGCUGCUGCAUAGCCAGUGGUGUUCAUAUAUGGAUGAUCUCAGAGAGAUGUGGAACAGCCAAUGCAUAUUUCUGUAAUUUUAUGCUUCAUUUGAUCUUCUCAUUCAAAUGAGAAGUGGCAGAUAUGCCUGAUGUGUGAUUUCCUACUUCCCACUUUCAAAUUAUUGAUAAUUUUUUUGAAUUCUGUAAAUACAAUUUAAUUUUGAG